rnacentral:piRNA from 1 species
UAAGCUUGAAGUUGGCUGUGGUUUCUUAG